UCGAGUCCAAAAAAAUUAGAAGACGAACAGAUUAGAUUCUCCAAUUUCCAAUUUCUCUCGUCUCAUUGAAUCAAAAAUAAAUAAAUCCUGAUCAGUAAACAAAGUCCAUUCUGCUCUCUCUUAUCUCUUCUCUGCUUUACUAUCUCUUUCAUCGACACUAUUUUCUGGAGAUUUCAAUCGGACCAUCAACUAUCGUAUCAGCUAUGAAGUUAAGAGAUGUAAGUUUUCUAGUCUUGUUCAGAAUUCAGUCUUCCCUUUUCUUUGUUGUUGUUUGUUUUUUUUCUUUGUUGUUAUAGUUGUUUUGUGUUUUUUGUUUUGUUUUUGCACAAGGGCUCUUUCUGUGUUUUUAAUAGUGAACUUCCUGUUACAGAAUGCCCAAUUUCAUUCCAGAGGCUGUUUGAUUGGGAUCUGAUACGUACAGAUACUUAAGAGUUUCAAUGUUCCGUCAUUAGCCAAUGCAAAGACUCCUAAUGUAUCGAUAUCAGAGUUUCUUGAUUGGCUACUGCAUCUGGAUAAUUUGGUAGUUUGUAGUACCAGUAGAUUCCCAAGUAACGAUUACUUGUAGCACUGAAAAUGCUCGAGUUUUCAGGAUUGAAGAAGCCUAACUUGAGUACAACAUUUGUGCAUGAGAAGAAGAAUGGGAAUGCAUGCAGAAACAUGAGAAAAAGAGGAAGACAAUGCUUCUUAGUUUGGCCAUAGAAAAACAACUACUGGAGGGUCAAAACCAAUAGGAUUUCUUGUAUAUAUGCCUUCAUCAGUUAUUUGCAUGUUCAAAUGCAACUUCAUAAGUUUCCUUGCUCUCAGCACCCCUUGAAGAUAUUUUUGUAAAAAUAGAGCAUAAAGACCUAUACCAAGUGGUCUGUUGCAGCUUAGUAUCUACUUGUAUGUCCCUUCCAUGCAUAUACUCACUGGGAAUUACCUUUACAUUCAUUACCUCCCUUAAGAUCUUUAUAGCAUGACCACACAACACCCCAUUCAUCUCAAACAACUUGCAACAACAAGAGACAUAAUUGUCACUCUUUUUCCUUAUAACACGAAAUUCCUUGGAAGUGUCCAGAUCACCAACCGUAUACACAAUGUCUUCUCCAGUAUCAACAAUAGUUUUUAUAUAAAAAUCAAGAGCGCUCACAAACUCAUUUUGAAAUUCCUCAAAUAUAAUCUUUGUGUAGACAUUCCCUGCUUCAAUCAACAUUUUAAUAGGUCUCUGAACUUGAGGUAUCUUCUGACACAAAGCAUAUUCUGUUUCUAACUCUUUGUAACGCUUAUCAUUUACAACUCUCUCAAAAUGCUUGAAAAAUUCGACCAAAUUAUGGUCUGAUUGGAGAUAAUCUUUCAAAUCACCAUUGAUACUUUCACUAAUCUGGGUGGUCUGCAAUCCUGCGCACCAUUGGCCUCUAACAUAUGCAUAAGCCCAUUUCCUCCUUACUUCAAAAAUUCUUUUGAACCAUUCAUCUCCAUGCACAUUAUACUCCGUGAGCAUCGCAUCCCAAGCAGCUAGAAACUCAUCUUCUUCUUCAUAGCN
rnacentral:lncRNA from 1 species